rnacentral:lncRNA from 1 species
GGUAACCUAGUACAGUCUCCUAUCCUCUUCUCCUCUCUCUGCCAAGUCCUGCAAUCUGGUCUAAGGAUUACACUUCAUCUUCUCUUAUCCCUCCCCUCCUCUUUCCACCUCUCACCUGUUCACAGUAUCCUCCCCUUCUCUUCUCCACUCUCUCACCUGUUCCAGUCUCCUUCUCCUCCUCUCUUCUCCACUCUCUCACCGUUUUCCAGUCUCUCCUCCUGUCUUCUCCACUCUCUCACCUGUUCGCGUCCCUCCCCUCUCUCUCCACUCUCUCACCUGUUCCAGUCUCCUCCUCCUCCUCUCUUCUCCACUCUCUCACCUUUUCGUCUCCUCCUCCUCUCUUCUCCACUCCUCACCUGUUCGUCUCCCCUCCUCUCUCUCUCCACUCCCACCUGUUCUAGUCUCCUCUUCCUCCCUCUCUCUCCAGUCGCUUACCUGUUCCAGUCUCCUCCUCUUCCUCUCUUCUCCAGUCGCCACCUGUUCCAGUCUCCUCCUCUUCCCUCUCUUCUCCACUCUCACCUGUUCCAGUCUCCUCCUCUUCCUCUCUUCUCCACUCUCACCUGUUCCAGUCUCCCCUCCUCCUCUCUUCUCCACUCUCUCACCUGUUUCCAGUUCCUCUCCUCUCUCUCCACUCUCUCACUUGUUCCAGUCUCCUCCUCCUCCCCUCUUCUCCACUCUCACCUGUCCAGUCUCCUCCUCCUCCCUCUUCUCAGUCGCUCACCUGUUGCAGUCUCCUGUCUGGUUUUGGAUGAGAUAGAUGCUGGUGAAUUGGCAAUAUGUCAGAUGCUCCUAAUUAUAAUAAUUAUGUGUGUGGUUGUUAAUUAUUUUGUUUAUUUACCAUCUCUCUCUCUCUCUCUCCUCUCUCCUCUGUGUCCUCUGUCUCUCUCUCUUUGUCUAUGUUCUCUUCUCUUUGUCUUGUUUCUCUCUCUCCCCACCCCCGUCUUGUGUCUCUCCCCCACCCCCUGUCUGUCUCUCUCGGCAGCAACAAGUCAGUGUAUGGAGGAGGAGUUGUUGCUGUAUGUCCUAUGA